AACCUUUACACUGCACGACAGUGCGAUAGGGGGACUCCGAGUGCGAGGGCAUAGAGCCCUCGCUUUUGUACACCGUAAGGUGGUGUACGAAUAAGAACUGGGCAAGACCGGCGCCAGCCGCCGCGGUAAUACCGGCAGUUCGAGUGAUGGCCGAUUUUAUUGGGCCUAAAGCGUUCGUAGCUGGCCGAUCAAGUCUGUCGGGAAAUCUGCUCGCCUAACGAGCAGGCGUCCGGCGGAAACUGAUCGGCUUGGGACCGGAAGACUCGAGGGGUACGUCCGGGGUAGGAGUGAAAUCCUGUAAUCCUGGACGGACCACCGAUGGCGAAAGCACCUCGAGAGCACGGAUCCGACAGUGAGGAACGAAAGCUGGGGUCUCGAACCGGAUUAGAUACCCGGGUAGUCCCAGCUGUCAACGAUGCCCGCUAGGUAUGGCGCAGGCUACGAGCCUGUGCUAUGCCGUAGCGAAGGCGCUAAGCGGGCCGCCUGGGAAGUACGUUCGCAAGAAUGAAACUUAA
rnacentral:rRNA from 1 species